AGAAAACUAUCGCGAAAAAAAAAACACUCGAAAAAGAAAAAGAAGAAAUCAUGGAGAAAGGUUGAAGGUUCAUCGAUCUCUUCUUCUCCUCCUCACCUCUCUCCAUAUCUCUCUCUUCUCUUCACCAUAAUCUUCUUCCUUUUAUUCUUCUCUCUCUUUCCUCUUCACAAAACAACAUCCCCGACUACUUUCAUCUUUGAAAAGGUAAUUGAUCGAUUUUUAUUACUUCUUCAUGUUUCUAUUCAAUCAAUUAUUGAUAUAAUUAUUAUAUCUAAGAAUAAUUUCUACUCAAUCUCUAAUUUUGACAUUUAUCUUCUUAGGUUUUUAACUUUUUGUUGCAAGUGAUUACUCAAUAAUCAAUUGGAAUUAGAGAAAGGUAUUAACAAUUGUUAUUAUCAACAGAUAGUAUUAAAAUUUGGGGUUUUCUUCUCUAGGAUUUGGGGGUUUGACUGAAUUUAGCUUAGCUUUUGAACUAGUGUAUUUUCUGGGAUUUUGCGACAUGGGAAUUUUCCCUGGGAUUUUGCGAGCAUGGGUUUAGAAGAUGGGAAUUUUCUCCUCUCAAUAGUCUUUGGUUAGAAUAACCUGUUCAGUGAGUUAUUCCAUUUCCUUUAAUUGUUAUGACCAUACAUCCUCCAAUGACCAUUUCUAUCGAACGCAAACUUAAGAAAACAGAGAAGUCUCUAUUAAAUUGUUCUGCAUAUGCUUUAUAUACAUUGGAAGGGCUUGUCCUUGCCAAAUAAACAUUGCCCUUAUUAUUCUCGAUACCUUGAGGAACCGGCAUGAAACGUAAUUGUGCAACGACGUUAGACAUUUUGUUUGUUGCAUUCAAGCUAGAAAAGUGCAUGCAUGUCAGUCAACAACUUUAGAAGAUGUAACUCCUUCAAAACUCAUAAUACAAGUAGUCAAGUACUGUAUGAUGUGAUUUUUUUUAACCAUUAUACCUGAGAGAGCCAAUGAAGAGCAUAGGAAGAAUGAACAAAGUUUAAGGUUUUGGUUGGAAAGAGCCUGUUAUAAAACGAUCCUGGCACCCCUGCCACAAAACUAGGUCUAACUUCUUGUCCAUUUUCUGACCUGAAUUUCUUAAAGAAGUAAGGAAUCGAUUUAAAGAUGGUGUUAAAAUCAUUUUCUGGAAGAUCAUUUAAAAACACUUGAAACUCAGGUGGCGAACGUCCCAAUUUCUGACAGACUACACUGAUAGCUUUUAGAAGCUCGGAAAUGACAAAUAGUGAGUUAGGUCCUGAAGAACAACCCAGGUCUGCGAUUGUUAAACACUGAGGGGAAGUUCUGUUGUAAAGUUCUACAAUAGUCUCUUCUAUAAAUGGCUUUAAAUAAUAUAAACAAAACAUUAAAACCAGCUUAGAACUUGAGAUAAGUAGCAGAAAAAGUUGCUUAGCUCUAAUGGCUACCAAACACCCACUUCAGCUCAACAUCUUGAGCUUUUCAAUAGAACAAAUGAUGGGAAACCUGAUAAUCGUGUGUUGGGAGUUGAGUUUGAUGUGUUUGAGAAUCAAGAGUUUAAUGAUAUUGAUAAUAAAUUAAUAAUCAUGUGGGUAUUGAUCUAUGUUCACUUACUUCCAUUGCUGCACAUUCUGCUGGUUAUUGGUCUGAUGUUCAACAUGAUAAAUUUCAUAAGUUGAAGCUUAAUAAGGGUAUGAAUUAUCAAGUUUGGAUCGAUUACUCAGAUUUUUUGUUAAAUGUUACUAUGGCUCCUGCAGGUAUGAAAAGGCCUAGAAAAGUGAGUUAUUCCAUUUCCUUUAAUUGUUAUGGCCAAAGUAAGUAUAGCUGCAAAUCAUAUCAUCUGUUGUUUGUGUACUGGGAUUGCAACUUGCAAGAAAACGAUCUAAAUAGACUUGUUUGGGCUCCAUGAACCAUGAAAUAUUGAGUUUAAGCUGUAUUUUUUCUAUAUUGCAAUGGUUUUGCAUGUGCAUAAUGUUUUUGCAUGUGCAUAAUGUUUUUGCGUAUAUACUACAAUAUAUACUACAAAUGCAUGUGCAUUUUUCUGAAAUGAUUAACACUCUUUCUAAUCGUAAUGUAG
rnacentral:lncRNA from 1 species